rnacentral:rRNA from 1 species
GGUCAAGUGAAGAAGCGCAUACGGUGGAUGCCUUGGCAGUCAGAGGCGAUGAAAGACGUGGUAGCCUGCGAAAAGCUUCGGGGAGUCGGCAAACAGACUGUGAUCCGGAGAUGUCUGAAUGGGGGAACCCAGCCAUCAUAAGAUGGUUAUCUUGUACUGAAUACAUAGGUGCAAGAGGCGAACCAGGGGAACUGAAACAUCUAAGUACCCUGAGGAAAAGAAAUCAACCGAGAUUCCCUUAGUAGUGGCGAGCGAACGGGGACCAGCCCUUAAGUUGUAUUGAGAUUAGCGGAACACUCUGGAAAGGGUGGCCAUAGUGGGUGAUAGCCCUGUACGCGAAAAUCCCUUUGCAAUGAAAUCGAGUAGGACGGGGCACGAGAAACCUUGUCUGAAUAUGGGGGGACCAUCCUCCAAGGCUAAAUACUACUGACUGACCGAUAGUGAACCAGUACCGUGAGGGAAAGGCGAAAAGAACCGCGGAGAGCGGAGUGAAAUAGAUCCUGAAACCGUAUGCGUACAAGCAGUGGGAGCCCACUUUGUUGGGUGACUGCGUACCUUUUGUAUAAUGGGUCAGCGACUUAUUUUCAGUGGCGAGCUUAACCGAAUAGGGGAGGCGUAGCGAAAGCGAGUCUUAAUAGGGCGUCUAGUCGCUGGGAAUAGACCCGAAACCGGGCGAUCUAUCCAUGGGCAGGUUGAAGGUUGGGUAACACUAACUGGAGGACCGAACCGACUACCGUUGAAAAGUUAGCGGAUGACCUGUGGAUCGGAGUGAAAGGCUAAUCAAGCUCGGAGAUAGCUGGUUCUCCUCGAAAGCUAUUUAGGUAGCGCCUCAUGUAUCACUGUAGGGGGUAGAGCACUGUUUCGGCUAGGGGGUCAUCCCGACUUACCAAACCGAUGCAAACUCCGAAUACCUACAAGUGCCGAGCAUGGGAGACACACGGCGGGUGCUAACGUCCGUCGUGAAAAGGGAAACAACCCAGACCGUCAGCUAAGGUCCCAAAGUCAUGGUUAAGUGGGAAACGAUGUGGGAAGGCUUAGACAGCUAGGAGGUUGGCUUAGAAGCAGCCACCCUUUAAAGAAAGCGUAAUAGCUCACUAGUCGAGUCGGCCUGCGCGGAAGAUGUAACGGGGCUCAAACCAUGCACCGAAGCUACGGGUAUCAUCUUAGGAUGAUGCGGUAGAGGAGCGUUCUGUAAGCCUGUGAAGGUGAGUUGAGAAGCUUGCUGGAGGUAUCAGAAGUGCGAAUGCUGACAUGAGUAACGACAAUGGGUGUGAAAAACACCCACGCCGAAAGACCAAGGUUUCCUGCGCAACGUUAAUCGACGCAGGGUUAGUCGGUCCCUAAGGCGAGGCUGAAAAGCGUAGUCGAUGGAAAACAGGUUAAUAUUCCUGUACUUCUGGUUAUUGCGAUGGAGGGACGGAGAAGGCUAGGCCAGCCUGGCGUUGGUUGUCCAGGUUUAAGGUGGUAGGCUGAGAUCUUAGGUAAAUCCGGGAUCUUAAGGCCGAGAGCUGAUGACGAGUGUUCUUUUAGAACACGAAGUGGUUGAUGCCAUGCUUCCAAGAAAAGCUUCUAAGCUUCAGGUAACCAGGAACCGUACCCCAAACCGACACAGGUGGUUGGGUAGAGAAUACCAAGGCGCUUGAGAGAACUCGGGUGAAGGAACUAGGCAAAAUGGCACCGUAACUUCGGGAGAAGGUGCGCCGGUGGAGGUGAAGCAUUUACUGCGUAAGCCCCUGCCGGUCGAAGAUACCAGGCCGCUGCGACUGUUUAUUAAAAACACAGCACUCUGCAAACACGAAAGUGGACGUAUAGGGUGUGACGCCUGCCCGGUGCCGGAAGGUUAAUUGAUGGGGUUAGCGCAAGCGAAGCUCUUGAUCGAAGCCCCGGUAAACGGCGGCCGUAACUAUAACGGUCCUAAGGUAGCGAAAUUCCUUGUCGGGUAAGUUCCGACCUGCACGAAUGGCGUAACGAUGGCGGCGCUGUCUCCACCCGAGACUCAGUGAAAUUGAAAUCGCUGUGAAGAUGCAGUGUAUCCGCGGCUAGACGGAAAGACCCCGUGAACCUUUACUAUAGCUUUGCACUGGACUUUGAAUUUGCUUGUGUAGGAUAGGUGGGAGGCUUUGAAGCGUGGACGCCAGUCUGCGUGGAGCCAACCUUGAAAUACCACCCUGGCAACUUUGAGGUUCUAACUCAGGUCCGUUAUCCGGAUCGAGGACAGUGUAUGGUGGGUAGUUUGACUGGGGCGGUCUCCUCCUAAAGAGUAACGGAGGAGUACGAAGGUGCGCUCAGACCGGUCGGAAAUCGGUCGUAGAGUAUAAAGGCAAAAGCGCGCUUGACUGCGAGACAGACACGUCGAGCAGGUACGAAAGUAGGUCUUAGUGAUCCGGUGGUUCUGUAUGGAAGGGCCAUCGCUCAACGGAUAAAAGGUACUCCGGGGAUAACAGGCUGAUACCGCCCAAGAGUUCAUAUCGACGGCGGUGUUUGGCACCUCGAUGUCGGCUCAUCACAUCCUGGGGCUGAAGCCGGUCCCAAGGGUAUGGCUGUUCGCCAUUUAAAGUGGUACGCGAGCUGGGUUUAGAACGUCGUGAGACAGUUCGGUCCCUAUCUGCCGUGGACGUUUGAGAUUUGAGAGGGGCUGCUCCUAGUACGAGAGGACCGGAGUGGACGAACCUCUGGUGUUCCGGUUGUCACGCCAGUGGCAUUGCCGGGUAGCUAUGUUCGGAAAAGAUAACCGCUGAAAGCAUCUAAGCGGGAAACUUGCCUCAAGAUGAGAUCUCACUGGAACCUUGAGUUCCCUAAAGGGCCGUCGAAGACUACGACGUUGAUAGGUUGGGUGUGUAAGCGCUGUGAGGCGUUGAGCUAACCAAUACUAAUUGCCCGUGAGGCUUGACCAUAUAACACCC